UUAUGAAACCCCAAAGUCACAAUUUUGAGGUACUCUUUGCUCAGGGGAUAUGGAUUAAUUAGCUGACUAGAGUGUGACACUUUGAGCCUAGAAUAUUUAACCUUUUCACAAAAUUCUAAUUUUCAGGUGCAUUAAUGCAGUUCCUUUUAAUUUGUAUUACUGAAAUAAAUGGACUUUUGCUCGAUAUUCGAAUUUUUCGCGUUUCACCGGUAGACAAGUGUGAACUGUUAGAAU